rnacentral:rRNA from 1 species
GGCAGGCUUAACACAUGCAAGUCGAGGGGUAUAGUUCUUCGGAAUUAGAGACCGGCGCACGGGUGCGUAACGCGUAUGCAAUCUACCUUUUACAGAGGGAUAGCCCAGAGAAAUUUGGAUUAAUACCUCAUAGUAUAUAGACCUGGCAUCAGGAUUAUAUUAAAGUCACAACGGUAAAAGAUGAGCAUGCGUCCCAUUAGCUAGUUGGUAAGGUAACGGCUUACCAAGGCUACGAUGGGUAGGGGUCCUGAGAGGGAGAUCCCCCACACUGGUACUGAGACACGGACCAGACUCCUACGGGAGGCAGCAGUGAGGAAUAUUGGACAAUGGGCGCAAGCCUGAUCCAGCCAUGCCGCGUGCAGGAUGACGGUCCUAUGGAUUGUAAACUGCUUUUAUACGAGAAGAAACACUACUUCGUGAAGUAGCUUGACGGUAUCGUAAGAAUAAGGAUCGGCUAACUCCGUGCCAGCAGCCGCGGUAAUACGGAGGAUCCAAGCGUUAUCCGGAAUCAUUGGGUUUAAAGGGUCCGUAGGCGGUUUAAUAAGUCAGUGGUGAAAGCCCAUCGCUCAACGGUGGAACGGCCAUUGAUACUGUUAAACUUGAAUUAUUAGGAAGUAACUAGAAUAUGUAGUGUAGCGGUGAAAUGCUUAGAGAUUACAUGGAAUACCAAUUGCGAAGGCAGGUUACUACUAAUGGAUUGACGCUGAUGGACGAAAGCGUGGGUAGCGAACAGGAUUAGAUACCCUGGUAGUCCACGCCGUAAACGAUGGAUACUAGCUGUUGGAAGCAAUUUCAGUGGCUAAGCGAAAGUGAUAAGUAUCCCAC